rnacentral:rRNA from 1 species
CCGGAUUUAUUGGGUUUAAAGGGUGCGUAGGUGGUCUUUUAAGUCAGCGGUGAAAGUUUGUGGCUCAACCAUAAAAUUGCCAUUGAAACUGGGAGACUUGAGUAUGUUUGAGGUAGGCGGAAUGCGUGGUGUAGCGGUGAAAUGCAUAGAUAUCACGCAGAACUCCGAUUGCGAAGGCAGCUUGCCAAGCCAUAACUGACACUGAAGCACGAAAGCGUGGGUAUCAAACAGGAUUAGAUACCCUGGUAGUCCACGCAGUAAACGAUGAUUACUAGGAGUUUGCGAUAUAAUGUAAGCUCUACAGCGAAAGCGUUAAGUAAUCCACCUGGGGAGUACGCCGGCAACGGUGAAACUCAAAGGAAUUGACGGGGGCCCGCACAAGCGGAGGAACAUGUGGUUUAAUUCGAUGAUACGCGAGGAACCUUACCCGGGUUUGAACGCAGUCUGACCGCCGAUGAAAGUCGGUUUCUAGCAAUAGCGGAUUGCGAGGUGCUGCAUGGUUGUCGUCAGCUCGUACCGUGAGGUGUCGGCUUAAGUGCCAUAACGAGCGCAACCCUUGCCGUUAGUUACUAACAAGUAAAGUUGAGGACUCUAGCGGGACUGCCAGCGUAAGCUGUGAGGAAGGCGGGGAUGACGUCAAAUCAGCACGGCCCUUACAUCCGGGGCGACACACGUGUUACAAUGGCGUGGACAAAGAGCAGCCACCUGGUGACAGGAGCUAAUCUCCAAACCACGUCUCAGUUCGGAUCGGAGUCUGCAACUCGACU